CUGCCCAGUGACUCAUGUUAAACGGCCGCGGUACCCUAACCGUGCAAAGGUAGCACAAUCACUUGCCCCUUAAAUUAGGGCUAGUAUGAAAGGCCUCACGAGAGCUAUACUGUCUCCCCCCUUAAAUCAGUGAAACUGAUCUCCUCGUGAAGAAGCGAGGAUGACUUCAUAAGACGAGAAGACCCCAUGGAGCUUCAAACUUGCACCACUGCCUCUCUACAUCAACUACACGAGCAAGCUGAUUACAAGUCUUUCGGCUGGGGCGACCACGGAGAAAAACUAAACCUCCACGAUGAAGGGGACAACCCUAAUCAAAGAGCAACUGCUCGAAGAAUCAACAAACUGACAUAUUGACCCAAACACUUUGAUCAACGAACCAAGUUACCCUGGGGAUAACAGCGCAAUCCAUUUCAAGAGACCCCAUCAACAAGUGGGCUUACGACCUCGAUGUUGGAUCAGGGUACCCCAGUGGUGCAGCCGCUACUAAAGGUUCGUUUGUUCAACGAUUAAAACCCU
rnacentral:rRNA from 1 species